rnacentral:rRNA from 1 species
AAUAGACUACCCUGGUAGUCCUGGCCGUAAACCAUGAGCACUUGAUUGGAGGGCCCUCCAUAGCCCUUCAGUCGGAGCGAAAGUGUUAAGUGCUCCGCCUGGGGAGUAUGGUCGCAAGGCUGAAACUCGAAAGAAAUUGACGGGGGCUCACACAAGCGGUGGAGGAUGUGGCUUAAUUCGAGGCUACGCGAAGAACCUUAUCCUAGUCUUGACAUGCAUUUCUAAGUCGGUGAAAGCCGGCGAGUGGGGAAACCCACAACUUGCACAGGUGCUGCGUGGCUGUCGUCAGCUCGUGUCGUGAGAUGUCGCGUUAAGUCGCUUAACGAGCGAAACCCUUGUCUCUAGUUGCCAGCGGGGUCAUGCCGGGGGACUCUAGAGAGACUGCCGGUGUUAAACCGGAGGAAGGUGGGGAUGACGUCAAGUCCUCAUGGCCUUUAUGACUAGGGCUGCACACGUCCUACAAUGGCGCGUAUAAAGGGAAGCAAGCUCGCGAGAGUAAGCAAAUCCCAAAAACGCGCCCCAGUUCGGAUUGCG